rnacentral:rRNA from 1 species
GAUGAACGCUAGCGGCAGGCUUAAUACAUGCAAGUCGAGGGGCAGCACAGAUAGCAAUAUUGGGUGGCGACCGGCAAACGGGUGCGGAACACGUACACAACCUUCCUUUUGGUGGGGGAUAGCCUUUGGAGACGGAGAUUAAUACCCCAUAAGAUAUUGGGACCGCAUGGUUUUGAUAUUAAAGAUUUAUUGCCAGAAGAUGGGUGUGCGUAUGAUUAGGUAGUUGGUGAGGUAAAGGCUCACCAAGCCGACGAUCAUUAACUGGUGUGAGAGCACGACCAGUCAAACGGGCACGGAGACACGGGCCCGACUCCUACGGGAGGCAGCAGUAAGGAAUAUUGGUCAAUGGACGGAGGUCUGAACCAGCCAUGCCGCGUGGAGGAUGAAGGUCCUCUGGAUUGUAAACUUCUUUUAUAUGGGGCGAAAAAGGGCCAUUCUUGGUCAACUGACGGUACCAUAUGAAUAAGCACCGGCUAACUCCGUGCCAGCAGCCGCCGUAAAAC